rnacentral:lncRNA from 1 species
CUCAUGUUAUUUUAAAAUUCUCAUGUCACCUACAAAUGGGUGGAAGAAAACCCUUGAAAUUGCUAUCCCGUGUAUCACUUUUAAUUUAAAAAAUCUUGAAAAUAUUUAGUCAAUUCAAAGCUCCAUCUCCCUUCAGAGCUGCCUCUGGUCUCUCAGGGUUCUUCUCUUCAGGAUCUCCUUGUCUCCCACAAGGCAUCUGAGCCUAGGAGCACUUUGUGGUUGUAGCAAAAGGGGUCUCUGUUCUGAAUCCUGCCUCUUCUGGGCAUCCUUUGUUGUCCCUUGAGGUGUGGCUGGUGCCUUCUGCAUGGUUUGAGCCUUGUGCUGGGGCUCAGUGCUGACUGUGCCCACACAAUGCCCUUUGUGAGGUUUCUGCUCUCUGUGGCCUUCUUGUCCCAACCUCAGGCCUCCACAUGUGACUUCUGCACCUCAUCUCUGGGAUGGUUUCAGUGGGUCCUAGAUUGCUUUCUGUGCUCCCUGGGACAGUUGGUGGCACUCUGUGAGACUACUCUGAGACCAGUCCUUUCCAUCAUGGGCUCCUGUGGAAAAUGACCCCAGCUCAGCUCAGUAGUUGAUGGGACAUCUGAUUCAGGUUGGACCCAGCCCAGACAUCUGAUUCAAACAAUAUUCUUCUCCAGGAAUUUUGUAACCAGCACUGGUAAAGGGAGGGAAGUGCUCCCCAGUGGGGAGAGCUGCAGAAUGUGAGACUUGGAAACCAAAGGCCGCCAUGUUUUCUGUCUCAUGAUGGAAUCCAAUCUUCUUUGGCGGGGAAAAUAAAUGAAGCCAACACCAGACAACAUAUAUCAAGCAGGGGCCAUUGCUCCAGCCUGACUCCAGGAAUCAGCAGACAGCGCAGCCUCAUUCUCCACCUGCUCCCUGCAGUACAGCCUCAGAACCACACAGUUGCAGCCAACCAGCUCCUGACAUGGAACUUGAGCAACAAAUGCCCUUUGUUUUUGCAAGUCCCUGAGAUUUGGAAGUUGUUACACAGCAUUCUCUCAGCCAGAAGUGACUGACAUGGUCACUGAGAGGCUGACCCAAGGACAAAAGUUUUUUUUUUCUUUUUUCAAAAAAAACAUGUAUCCUUUACCUCUUAUUGGCUGAGAGGAUAGCUUUUUGAUUGGCCUUUCAAG